rnacentral:lncRNA from 1 species
AUGUCGUGGCAGCCCAUCGCCCUCAUUCCUCCUCUGGCUCCUACUUCUUUCGUGGCGCCUUUCAGGGUAUGUCUCAAACACGGGGCAGACAGGACAGCUGAAGCAAUGACCAUUCAAAGACUUUAUCACAGUGGAAUCAACAAAAUUUGUUACAUGGAAUGGAAAAGAAAACCCCACGUCAAAGACUUCCCUUCUGAGAUGAACAUGUUUUCGCUAAUCCGAUCUGGAUUCGUAAGAGAACGAUACCGAAUCCUUUCCCCCAAGCUUGUAAAAUGUAUAACCAAAGAGACCCAAAUCGAGCCACACACUAAAACGUGCAGCGAGGGAGGGCAACACAAAUCGCCGGCGAGAUUCGCCUGCUAUUCCUUGCAACAGAGACCCAGCUUCAACACUGGGCUCUUCCCGACACCAGCCCCGAUGGCAGGAGCCUGGAUUUUCACGCUGGUGUUCAGCCUUAACAUCCAUGCUCCCGUCUCCAGUGAAGGCAGGGAAAGGUGGCUGGAUUUGCACAUCCUCCCCAGCACCAUCUUGGCUAGGAGAAGCACUGUUGCAGUGCUACAGCUGGGCCCGUCAUGGAAGUACCUUGCUCCACGGCACAGAAGAGCGCAAGGGAAUGAGCCAGAGGAGCUUCAUGAGUCAGGUCACAAGAGCAAGCGGGUAAACCCAUCCGCAGGCCGAUCCUCUGCUAGAUCUGCCUCCUGCCCACAGAUGGAGAGACAAACUCUUCAAACACUGUUGCUUUGGCAUCAGGAAUUCAGCUCACCAGAUGAAUCGUGGCUCCAGAGCAGGGCACAGUCUCCCCCUUGGUCGUGCACUGUCUGCUACGGCUCUCCGACAAUGUUCAUCCAACGUUUCCAGCGUUAUCGUUGAAAAUCCGAAACACCCUGCUUGUAGGGCUGGUACGCGUGCAGGAGCUAGCACAGAGAGUGUUACCUGCAACAAGCAGGGCUUUUGGAAGCGGAAGCGCUCAGUGAUCCAGUGCGGCACACUCGGAAAGGGUGAGCGCCAAACCGUGUGGCCUGGAGAGACAAAGCCACCAGGGAAAUCUCUGAGUGCUCCAGCAGCUUUGAGGUCUCACUGUGUGCCAACCAUCCUUUGUAGAAACCACAUGCAGAAAUAAAGGAG